AUUAAGUCAAUUAAUACAUCAGAUGAGUGGUACUACAUAGGAUGCGGCAAAUGUAACAAAAAACUACAAAAAGAAGGGAAUCACUUCUACUGUCCAAAAUGUGAGAAAGAACCUGAGAGGACAUGUCCAAGGUACAAACUUAAGCUAGAGAUAUGUGAUCAUACUGCAAUAACAACUUGCACCAUGUUUGAGACAGAAGCAAAAAAACUGAUUAAGCAAUCUGCAAGAUUCUUGAUAGAUAGGGAUGACUAUGAUAUCCAUGAGCAGGCAGAAAAAAUUCAGAAAAUAUGUGGGCAGAGAUUGAUUUUUUAG
rnacentral:rRNA from 1 species